GGUUGCCUCCCAUACGACCCCGACCAGAGCUGGGGACGAACCGCAACCCAGGUUUUGCAGGCUCCAGGGCCACACCCAGCACAGCUUUCUGUGAAAUGCAGACCUCACACCCCUCCCACAUGUCACCUCUGUCCCCUUUGCAGCCCGGCAGGCACAGUUCUUCCUGAAGAUAACGACAGACAAAUGCAAAAAAACAUCUCCUCGGGUGAGGAUUAAAAAAAAGGUAAACAGUAAGGAAUCAACUCUGGACACAAUUCACGUGAACCCAUGCAGGGGGCACCCGCCUUUCAAGCCGAGACAAUCAAGGACAGAACUGUGUACAACUGCCCGACCAGUGUGGCUCAGCUGGUUGGUCAUCAUCCUGUGCACCAAGAGGUCCCAAUUCUAUUCCCAGUCAGGGCACAAGCCCGGGUUUCAGCUCAAUC